rnacentral:lncRNA from 1 species
AUGACAGUGUUUUAUUCCCGGCAAGGGACUUCACCACAGAGCCGUCAUCAUGGCCUGUACAAUCAGGGAGCCACAUGUUACCUCAACAGUGUCCUGCAGGUUCUCUUCACGACGACUGAGUUACAUGACAGGUUGGAUUCACAAUCACAAACAGAUCUUCAGCUGAGAAAAAUCUUUGAAGGCCUGAAGGAAACAACAUGCGGAACAGAAAACAUCAUGGCAACAUUUGGGAUUAAACAUGUUUAUGAACAACGUGAUGCAGCUGAAUGUCUGAAGAGGAUUUUACAUCAGAUCAGUCCACAGGCCUCUGAGGUGAGCACUUAUUAAAUCUGCAAAGUUUUUUACAGGGGAACAAAUCAGAAUCCUGUGUUGAAAAGUUACAUUUCUAGGUUUUCCGAGGACAGAUGACAAUCACAAAAAAAUGUUCCAAAGUCCACGUCAUCAAUGUAAAGACAGUAUCAUUCCGGACUCUCCCUCUGUCACCGAAAGAUACUCCUGAUACAACCUUUAAAGUGGUGAGCAGACAAAGUUCUUGUUC